GAUGAACGCUAGCUACAGGCUUAACACAUGCAAGUCGAGGGACCGGCGCACGGGUGAGUAACACGUAUCCAACCUGCCCUUUACUCGGGGAUAGCCUUUCGAAAGAAAAAUUAAUACCCGAUAUAAAGACUGGGGAUGCGUUCCAUUGGGUUGUGGGUGAGUUACCUGCUCACCAAGCCUUCGAUGGAUAGGGGUUCGGAUAGGAAGGUACACCUCAUGUGAACGUAGACACGGACCAAACUCCUACGGGAGGCAGCAGUGAGGAAUAUGUGUCAAUGGGAGGUAGCCUGAGCCAGCCAAGUAGCGUGAAGGAUGAAGGCUUAUGGGUCGUAAACUUCUUGUAUAUAAGAAUAUGUAUUAUAUGAAUAAGGAUCGGCUAACUCCGUGCCAGCCGCCGCGGUAAUAC
rnacentral:rRNA from 1 species